CCUACGGGAGGCAGCAGUGGGGAAUAUUGCACAAUGGGGGAAACCCUGAUGCAGCGACGCCGCGUGAGUGAAGAAGUAAUUCGUUAUGUAAAGCUCUAUCAGCAGGGAAGAAAAUGACGGUACCUGAGUAAGAAGCCCCGGCUAACUACGUGCCAGCAGCCGCGGUAAUACGUAGGGGGCAAGCGUUAUCCGGAUGUACUGGGUGUAAAGGGAGCGUAGACGGCAGUGCAAGUCUGGAGUGAAAGGCGGGGGCUCAACCCCCGGACUGCUGUGGAAACUGUACGGCUGGAGUGCAGGAGAGGUAAGUGGAAUUCGUGGUGUAGCGGUGAAAUGCGGAGAUAUUAGGAGGAACACCAGUGGCGAAGGCGGCUUACUGGACUGUAACUGACGUUGAGGCUCGAAAGCGUGGGGAGCAAACAGGAUUAGAUACCCGAGUAGUC
rnacentral:rRNA from 1 species